rnacentral:rRNA from 1 species
ACGAACGCUGGCGGCGUGGAUAAGACAUGCAAGUCGAACGAGAGAAUUGCUAGCUUGCUAAUAAUUCUCUAGUGGCGCACGGGUGAGUAACACGUGAGUAACCUGCCCCCGAGAGCGGGAUAGCCCUGGGAAACUGGGAUUAAUACCGCAUAGUAUCGAAAGAUUAAAGCAGCAAUGCGCUUGGGGAUGGGCUCGCGGCCUAUUAGUUAGUUGGUGAGGUAACGGCUCACCAAGGCGAUGACGGGUAGCCGGUCUGAGAGGAUGUCCGGCCACACUGGAACUGAGACACGGUCCAGACACCUACGGGUGGCAGCAGUCGAGAAUCAUUCACAAUGGGGGAAACCCUGAUGGUGCGACGCCGCGUGGGGGAAUGAAGGUCUUCGGAUUGUAAACCCCUGUCAUGUGGGAGCAAAUUAAAAAGAUAGUACCACAAGAGGAAGAGACGGCUAACUCUGUGCCAGCAGCCGCGGUAAUACAGAGGUCUCAAGCGUUGUUCGGAAUCACUGGGCGUAAAGCGUGCGUAGGCUGUUUCGUAAGUCGUGUGUGAAAGGCGCGGGCUCAACCCGCGGACGGCACAUGAUACUGCGAGACUAGAGUAAUGGAGGGGGAACCGGAAUUCUCGGUGUAGCAGUGAAAUGCGUAGAUAUCGAGAGGAACACUCGUGGCGAAGGCGGGUUCCUGGACAUUAACUGACGCUGAGGCACGAAGGCCAGGGGAGCGAAAGGGAUUAGAUACCCCUGUAGUCCUGGCAGUAAACGGUGCACGCUUGGUGUGCGGGGAAUCGACCCCCUGCGUGCCGGAGCUAACGCGUUAAGCGUGCCGCCUGGGGAGUACGGUCGCAAGAUUAAAACUCAAAGAAAUUGACGGGGACCCGCACAAGCGGUGGAGUAUGUGGCUUAAUUCGAUGCAACGCGAAGAACCUUACCUGGGCUUGACAUGUAAUGAACAACAUGUGAAAGCAUGCGACUCUUCGGAGGCGUUACACAGGUGCUGCAUGGCCGUCGUCAGCUCGUGUCGUGAGAUGUUUGGUUAAGUCCAGCAACGAGCGCAACCCCUGUUGCCAGUUACCAGCACGUGAAGGUGGGGACUCUGGCGAGACUGCCGGUGACAAGCCGGAGGAAGGCGGGGAUGACGUCAAAUCAGCACGGCCCUUACAUCCGGGGCGACACACGUGUUACAAUGGCGUGGACAAAGGGAGGCCACCUGGCGACAGGGAGCGAAUCCCCAAACCACGUCUCAGUUCGGAUCGGAGUCUGCAACCCGACUCCGUGAAGCUGGAUUCGCUAGUAAUGGCGCAUCAGCUACGGCGCCGUGAAUACGUUCCCGGGUCUUGUACACACCGCCCGUCACAUCAUGGAAGCCGGUCGCACCCGAAGUAUCUGAAGCCAACCGCAAGGAGGCAGGGUCCUAAGGUGAGACUGGUAACUGGGAUG